GAUGAACGCUGGCGGCAUGCCUAAUACAUGCAAGUCGAACGAGAGGAAGGAAAGCUUGCUUUUCUGAAUCUAGUGGCGAACGGGUGAGUAACACGUAGGUAACCUGCCCAUGUGCCCGGGAUAACUUCUGGAAACGGAUGCUAAAACCGGAUAGGUAGCAGACAAGCAUUUGACUGCUAUUAAAGUGGCUAAGGCCAUGAACAUGGAUGGACCUGCGGUGCAUUAGCUAGUUGGUGAGGUAACGGCCCACCAAGGCGACGACGCAUAGCCGGCCUGAAGGGGCGGACGGCCACAUUGGGACUGAGACACGGCCCAAACUCCUACGGGAGGCAGCAGUAGGGAAUUUUCGUCAAUGGGGGGAACCCUGAACGAGCAAUGCCGCGUGAGUGAGGAAGGUCUUCGGAUCGUAAAGCUCUGUUGUAAGAGAAAAACGACAUUCAUAGGGAAUGAUGAGUGAGUGAUGGUAUCUUACCAGAAAGUCACGGCUAACUACGUGCCAGCAGCCGCCGUAA
rnacentral:rRNA from 1 species